rnacentral:lncRNA from 1 species
CCUGAACUUGCUGUUGUCAAGGUCAUGAUCAGCAUUCCAGGAUCUAGGAUGACUUUAUCCUUGAACUAACAAAACAACACAAAACAAGCAAGCAAAAAACUGCGAGCACGUGACUACCACCGCCAUCACCACCUCUGCCACUGUGACUGCCACCUGUACCACUACCCAACACAAAACUCCACACACAAAACUGACAAGAUUUCAUCUCAAGGCAGGAGGCUCACGAUGCUGUCAUGAAGUACACGUGGGGAAGAACUGCAGAUUCCUGACAGGUCUACAGCCCAAGCACAUGUAGCCAUUCUGUAGAGCCUUUGAAGAAGCAUUAGUGAGGAUUUGGAUUAUGCAAAACCAACAGGGAGGAAAAAGAAGAUGUGGAGGACUCAGGACCUUAAAGCUUCCUGCAUGCAGUUUGUUAAGUAGAGUGACAUGAAAG